UCCGGUUUGGCACCGGCGGUCUCCGAUGAGUCCCCGGCAUUACCCGCUGGCAACAUCGGACAGGGGUUGCGCUCGUUGCGCCACUUAAGGCAACACCUCACGGCACGAGCUGACGACAGCCAUGCAGCACCUGUGCGGGCUCCCGAAGGAGGACCGGCUUUCACCGGCUUCACCCCGCAUGUCAAGCCCUGGUAAGGUGGGGAUGACGUAAGGAUAG
rnacentral:misc_RNA from 1 species